rnacentral:rRNA from 1 species
GACGAACGCUGGCGGCGUGCUUAACACAUGCAAGUCGAACGGAAAGGCCCUGCUUUUGUGGGGUGCUCGAGUGGCGAACGGGUGAGUAACACGUGAGUAACCUGCCCUUGACUUUGGGAUAACUUCAGGAAACUGGGGCUAAUACCGGAUAGGAGCUCCUGCUGCAUGGUGGGGGGUGGAAAGUUUCGGCGGUUGGGGAUGGACUGGCGGCUUACCAGCUUGUUGGUGGGGUAGUGGCUUACCAAGGCUUUGACGGGUAGCCGGCCUGAGAGGGUGGCCGGCCACAUUGGGACUGAGAUACGGACCAGACGCCUACGGGAGGCAGCAGUGGGGAAUAUUGCACAAUGGGCGGGAGCCUGAUGCAGCAACGCCGCGUGCGGGAUGACGGCCUUCGGGUUGUAAACCGCUUUCGCCUGUGACGAAGCGUGAGUGACGGUAAUGGGUGAAGAAGCACCGGCUAACUACGUG